GAGUUUGAUCAUGGCUCAGAUUGAACGCUGGCGGCAUGCCUUACACAUGCAAGUCGAACGGCAGCACGGGAGCUUGCUCCUGGUGGCGAGUGGCGAACGGGUGAGUAAUGCAUCGGAACGUAUCCUGGAGUGGGGGAUAACGUAGCGAAAGUUACGCUAAUACCGCAUAUUCUGUGAGCAGGAAAGCGGGGGACCUUCGGGCCUCGCGCUCUUGGAGCGGCCGAUGUCGGAUUAGCUAGUUGGUGAGGUAAAGGCGUCACCAAGGCGACGAUCCCGUAGCAGGUCUGAGAGGAUGAUCUGCCACACUGGAACUGAGACACGGUCCAGACUCCUACGGGAGGCGAGCAGUGGGGAAUUUUGGACAAUGGGGGCAACCCUGAUCCAGCCAUGCCGCGUGAGUGAAGAAGGCCUCGGUUGUAAGACUCUUUCGUCGAGGGAAGAAAGUUA
rnacentral:rRNA from 1 species